UACGAAGGGGGCUAGCGUUGCUCGGAAUCACUGGGCGUAAAGCGCACGUAGGCGGAUUGUUAAGUCAGGGGUGAAAUCCUGGAGCUCAACUCCAGAACUGCCUUUGAUACUGGCGAUCUUGAGUCCGGGAGAGGUGAGUGGAACUGCGAGUGUAGAGGUGAAAUGCGUAGAGAUCCGGAGGAACACCAGUGGCGAAGGCGACACGCUGGGCCGUACCUGACACUGAUGCGCGACAGUAUGGGGAGCAAACAGG
rnacentral:rRNA from 1 species